rnacentral:tRNA from 1 species
GGAGAGGUGGCCGAGUGGUUGAAGGCGCACGACUGGAACUCGUGUUUAGUGUAACCCACUAACGAGGGUUCGAAUCCCUCUCUCUCCGCCA